AGAAAGAUUUAAUCUUCUCAGGAGAAGCUGGAGAAGAUUUAUGGACGCCUAUUCUUAACAUGUCAAAAUGUGGCUUGGCUGCUAAAUUUACUGGGACCGCCUACACAGCUGAGGAUUUCUGUGACUCUGCUGGAAAUAAUGGCUUUAGGAGUAUCUCAGGGAGCUGACCCCAGAAGAUACAGAAACUAAGGCGUUCGACCUCUUUUAUUGCAACUGCUCCCAUCCUUCCUGCCCGCCCUACCCGCCGGAAACUUAAAAACCCACGCCUGUUGG
rnacentral:lncRNA from 1 species